UACGAAGGGGGCUAGCGUUGCUCGGAAUCACUGGGCGUAAAGCGCACGUAGGCGGCUUGUUAAGUCGGGGGUGAAAUCCUGGAGCUCAACUCCAGAACUGCCCUCGAUACUGACGAGCUCGAGUCCGGGAGAGGUGAGUGGAACUGCGAGUGUAGAGGUGAAAUUCGUAGAUAUUCGCAAGAACACCAGUGGCGAAGGCGGCUCACUGGCCCGGUACUGACGCUGAGGUGCGAAAGCGUGGGGAGCAAACAGG
rnacentral:rRNA from 1 species